AAAGCUGGAUACUCAGUCAUGGUCAUUGUAACAUGAUAGUGACAGGUACUGGGUAAGACUGCAUAG
ensembl:miRNA MIR4264 microRNA 4264